UACGUAGGGGGCAAGCGUUAUCCGGAUUUACUGGGUGUAAAGGGAGCAUAGACGGAGCAGCAAGUCUGAUGUGAAAACCCGGGGCUCAACCCCGUAUGGCGCUGGAAACUGUUAGGCUUGAGUGCAGGAGAGGAAAGGGGAAUUCCCAGUGUAGCGGUGAAAUGCGUAGAUAUUGGGAGGAACACCAGUGGCGAAGGCGCCUUUCUGGACUGUGUCUGACGCUGAGAUGCGAAAGCCAGGGUAGCGAACGGG
rnacentral:rRNA from 1 species